UAGUGGCGAACGGGUGAGUAACACGUGGGCAAUCUGCCCUGCACUCUGGGACAAGCCCUGGAAACGGGGUCUAAUACCGGAUACGAGCCUCCGAGUGCAUCUUGGAGGUUGGAAAGCUCCGGCGGUGCAGGAUGAGCCCGCGGCUCUAUCAGCUUGUUGGUGAGGUAACGGCUCACCAAGGCGACAGACGGGUAGCCGGCCUGAGAGGGCAGACCGGCCACACUGGGACUGAGACACGGCCCAGACUCCUACGGGAGGCAGCAGUGGGGAAUAUUGCACAAUGGGCGCAAGCCUGAUGCAGCGACGCCGCGUGAGGGAUGACGGCCUUCGGGUUGUAAACCUCUUUCAGCAGGGAAGAAGCGAAAGUGACGGUACCUGCAGAAGAAGCGCCGGCUAACUACGUGCCAGCAGCCGCGGUAAUACGUAGGGCGCGAGCGUUGUCCGGAAUUAUUGGGCGUAAAGAGCUCGUAGGCGGCUUGUCGCGUCGGUUGUGAAAGCCCGGGGCUUAACCCCGGGUCUGCAGUCGAUACGGGCAGGCUAGAGUUCGGUAGGGGAGAUCGGAAUUCCU
rnacentral:rRNA from 1 species